CCUGUUUAUCAAAAACAUAGCCUUAUGAACAGAUGUAAGGUUAGACCUGCCCAAUGUGUAUGUCAUGAAUGGCCGCGGUACUUUGACCGUGCUAAGGUAGCGCAAUCAAUUGGCUUUUAAUUGGGGCCAUGUAUGAAUGGAGUAACGGGGUUUAGCUGUCUCUAAAUUAUUUUAUUGAAAUUACUAUUCAGGUGAGAAAGCCUGAGCCGAGAAAAAAGACGAGAAGACCCUUAGAGUUUUUCUUAAGUUAAACAAUCAGUGUUUAAAGCAGUUUAGUUGGGGCAACAUAGGAGCAGAUUUUUUUUUAAUCUCCUGAAAUCGACAAGCCGAUAGUAGUAAAAAUGUAUAAACUACCUUAGGGAUAACAGCAUAAUUUUAUUAGUAAGUUUGUGACCUCGAUGUUGGACUAGGAAACUAAAAGGCUAGCCGCCUUUUGGGUAAGUNCNGNUCGAACCGGCAUUCCCACGNGAUCUAGAGUUCAGACCG
rnacentral:rRNA from 1 species